rnacentral:rRNA from 1 species
UUAAGCGACUAAGCGUACACGGUGGAUGCCCUGGCAGUCAGAGGCGAUGAAGGACGUGCUAAUCUGCGAUAAGCGUCGGUAAGGUGAUAUGAACCGUUAUAACCGGCGAUUUCCGAAUGGGGAAACCCAGUGUGUUUCGACACACUAUCAUUAACUGAAUCCAUAGGUUAAUGAGGCGAACCGGGGGAACUGAAACAUCUAAGUACCCCGAGGAAAAGAAAUCAACCGAGAUUCCCCCAGUAGCGGCGAGCGAACGGGGAGCAGCCCAGAGCCUGAAUCAGUGUGUGUGUUAGUGGAAGCGUCUGGAAAGGCGCGCGAUACAGGGUGACAGCCCCGUACACAAAAAUGCACAUGCUGUGAGCUCGAUGAGUAGGGCGGGACACGUGGUAUCCUGUCUGAAUAUGGGGGGACCAUCCUCCAAGGCUAAAUACUCCUGACUGACCGAUAGUGAACCAGUACCGUGAGGGAAAGGCGAAAAGAACCCCGGCGAGGGGAGUGAAAAAGAACCUGAAACCGUGUACGUACAAGCAGUGGGAGCACGCUUCGGCGUGUGACUGCGUACCUUUUGUAUAAUGGGUCAGCGACUUAUAUUCUGUAGCAAGGUUAACCGAAUAGGGGAGCCGAAGGGAAACCGAGUCUUAACUGGGCGUUAAGUUGCAGGGUAUAGACCCGAAACCCGGUGAUCUAGCCAUGGGCAGGUUGAAGGUUGGGUAACACUAACUGGAGGACCGAACCGACUAAUGUUGAAAAAUUAGCGGAUGACUUGUGGCUGGGGGUGAAAGGCCAAUCAAACCGGGAGAUAGCUGGUUCUCCCCGAAAGCUAUUUAGGUAGCGCCUCGUGAAUUCAUCUCCGGGGGUAGAGCACUGUUUCGGCAAGGGGGUCAUCCCGACUUACCAACCCGAUGCAAACUGCGAAUACCGGAGAAUGUUAUCACGGGAGACACACGGCGGGUGCUAACGUCCGUCGUGAAGAGGGAAACAACCCAGACCGCCAGCUAAGGUCCCAAAGUCAUGGUUAAGUGGGAAACGAUGUGGGAAGGCCCAGACAGCCAGGAUGUUGGCUUAGAAGCAGCCAUCAUUUAAAGAAAGCGUAAUAGCUCACUGGUCGAGUCGGCCUGCGCGGAAGAUGUAACGGGGCUAAACCAUGCACCGAAGCUGCGGCAGCGACGCUGAUGCGUUGUUGGGUAGGGGAGCGUUCUGUAAGCCUGCGAAGGUGUGCUGUGAGGCAUGCUGGAGGUAUCAGAAGUGCGAAUGCUGACAUAAGUAACGAUAAAGCGGGUGAAAAGCCCGCUCGCCGGAAGACCAAGGGUUCCUGUCCAACGUUAAUCGGGGCAGGGUGAGUCGACCCCUAAGGCGAGGCCGAAAGGCGUAGUCGAUGGGAAACAGGUUAAUAUUCCUGUACUUGGUGUUACUGCGAAGGGGGGACGGAGAAGGCUAUGUUGGCCGGGCGACGGUUGUCCCGGUUUAAGCGUGUAGGCUGGUUUUCCAGGCAAAUCCGGAAAAUCAAGGCUGAGGCGUGAUGACGAGGCACUACGGUGCUGAAGCAACAAAUGCCCUGCUUCCAGGAAAAGCCUCUAAGCAUCAGGUAACAUCAAAUCGUACCCCAAACCGACACAGGUGGUCAGGUAGAGAAUACCAAGGCGCUUGAGAGAACUCGGGUGAAGGAACUAGGCAAAAUGGUGCCGUAACUUCGGGAGAAGGCACGCUGAUAUGUAGGUGAAGUCCCUCGCGGAUGGAGCUGAAAUCAGUCGAAGAUACCAGCUGGCUGCAACUGUUUAUUAAAAACACAGCACUGUGCAAACACGAAAGUGGACGUAUACGGUGUGACGCCUGCCCGGUGCCGGAAGGUUAAUUGAUGGGGUUAGCGGUAACGCGAAGCUCUUGAUCGAAGCCCCGGUAAACGGCGGCCGUAACUAUAACGGUCCUAAGGUAGCGAAAUUCCUUGUCGGGUAAGUUCCGACCUGCACGAAUGGCGUAAUGAUGGCCAGGCUGUCUCCACCCGAGACUCAGUGAAAUUGAACUCGCUGUGAAGAUGCAGUGUACCCGCGGCAAGACGGAAAGACCCCGUGAACCUUUACUAUAGCUUGACACUGAACAUUGAGCCUUGAUGUGUAGGAUAGGUGGGAGGCUUUGAAGUGUGGACGCCAGUCUGCAUGGAGCCGACCUUGAAAUACCACCCUUUAAUGUUUGAUGUUCUAACGUUGACCCGUAAUCCGGGUUGCGGACAGUGUCUGGUGGGUAGUUUGACUGGGGCGGUCUCCUCCUAAAGAGUAACGGAGGAGCACGAAGGUUGGCUAAUCCUGGUCGGACAUCAGGAGGUUAGUGCAAUGGCAUAAGCCAGCUUGACUGCGAGCGUGACGGCGCGAGCAGGUGCGAAAGCAGGUCAUAGUGAUCCGGUGGUUCUGAAUGGAAGGGCCAUCGCUCAACGGAUAAAAGGUACUCCGGGGAUAACAGGCUGAUACCGCCCAAGAGUUCAUAUCGACGGCGGUGUUUGGCACCUCGAUGUCGGCUCAUCACAUCCUGGGGCUGAAGUAGGUCCCAAGGGUAUGGCUGUUCGCCAUUUAAAGUGGUACGCGAGCUGGGUUUAGAACGUCGUGAGACAGUUCGGUCCCUAUCUGCCGUGGGCGCUGGAGAACUGAGGGGGGCUGCUCCUAGUACGAGAGGACCGGAGUGGACGCAUCACUGGUGUUCGGGUUGUCAUGCCAAUGGCACUGCCCGGUAGCUAAAUGCGGAAGAGAUAAGUGCUGAAAGCAUCUAAGCACGAAACUUGCCCCGAGAUGAGUUCUCCCUGACUCCUUGAGAGUCCUGAAGGAACGUUGAAGACGACGACGUUGAUAGGCCGGGUGUGUAAGCGCAGCGAUGCGUUGAGCUAACCGGUACUAAUGAACCGUGAGGCUUAACCUU